AACGAACGCUGGCGGCAUGCCUAACACAUGCAAGUCGAACGAGACCUUCGGGUCUAGUGGCGCACGGGUGCGUAACGCGUGGGAACCUGCCCUUAGGUUCGGAAUAACUCCCCGAAAGGGGUGCUAAUACCGGAUAAUGUCUUCGGACCAAAGAUUUAUCGCCUUUGGAUGGGCCCGCGUUGGAUUAGCUAGUUGGUAGGGUAAAAGCCUACCAAGGCGACGAUCCAUAGCUGGUCUGAGAGGAUGAUCAGCCACACUGGGACUGAGACACGGCCCAGACGCGUGCGGGAGGAAGCAGGGGGGGAUAUGGGAGAGACGACGAGAGCGUUAUCAAGCACUGGGGCUUGAGUGAUGAAUGUGUUGGGGUUUGAACUCUUUUGCGCCGGGAAAGAUGGUGACAGAACGGGAAAAAUAAGCGCCGGCAACACCCGGGCGAGGAGCCGGGGAAAUAGCGGAAGAGCACACGGUGAAC
rnacentral:rRNA from 1 species